GGACAACCUACCCUGAGGAGGGGGAUAACCCCGGGAAACUGGGGAUAAUACCCCAUAGACUAUGGAUGCUGGAAUGCUCUGUAGUUAAAAGGCCCGCCGCCUCAGGAUGGGUCUGCGGCCGAUUAGGUUGUUGUUGGGGUAACGGCCCAACAAGCCUGUAAUCGGUACGGGUUGUGGGAGCAAGAGCCCGGAGAUGGACUCUGAGACACGAAUCCAGGCCCUACGGGGCGCAGCAGGCGCGAAAACUUUACAAUGCGAGCAAUCGUGAUAAGGGAACUCCGAGUGCCCGUAAAAUCGGGCUGUCCGCCAGUGUAAAUAACUGGUGAAGAAAGGGCCGGGCAAGACCGGUGCCAGCCGCCGCGGUAAUACCGGCGGCUCGAGUGGUGGCCACUAUUACUGGGCUUAAAGCGUUCGUAGCUGGUCUGUUAAGUCUCUGGGGAAAUCUUCCGGCUUAACCGGAAGGCGUCUCAGGGAUACUGACAGACUAGGGGCCGGAAGAGGUGAGAGGUACUCCAGGGGUAGGAGUGAAAUCCUGUAAUCCUUGGGGGACCACCUGUGGCGAAGGCGUCUCACCAGGACGGCUCCGACAGUGAGGAACGAAAGCUGGGGGAGCAAACCGGAUUAGAUACCCGGGUAGUCCCAGCUGUAAACGAUGCGCGUUAGGUGUAUCGGUGACCACGAGUCACCGAGGUGCCGAAGAGAAAUCGUGAAACGCGCCGCCUGGGAAGUACGGUCGCAAGGCUGAAACU
rnacentral:rRNA from 1 species